CAUAACCGAAGAUAACUGCUGGGUUCAAUGUGGGAUUGGUAAUAAUCCGAACGUCACCACCGCCUGGUGCCCAGGUGUCAUACAACCCACCGAAGAACAUUGCUUUUGCUACCAAUAGCAGCGCACCGAAUCCCAAAAUAAUCAGAUGGAAUCCGAUGAUGUUGGUCAUCUUGUUCUUGUCUUUCCA
rnacentral:antisense_RNA from 1 species